rnacentral:rRNA from 1 species
AACGGCCAUACCAUGCUGAAUAUACCGAUUCUCGUUAGAUCACCGAAGUCAAGAAUCAUUGGGCGCGGUCAGUACUUGGGUGGGUGACCACCUGGGAACACUGCGUGC